rnacentral:tRNA from 1 species
GAUCCAACAAAGCCAUACGCUAAUGCCGACGGGGGUCGAACCCACAACAUUAUGUUCCGAAG